rnacentral:rRNA from 1 species
ACGAACGCUGGCGGCGCGCCUAACACAUGCAAGUCGAACGAGAGAGAGGGAGCUUGCUUCCUCGAUCGAGUGGCGAACGGGUGAGUAACGCGUGAGGAACCUGCCUCAAAGAGGGGGACAACAGUUGGAAACGACUGCUAAUACCGCAUAAGCCCACGACCCGGCAUCGGGAAGAGGGAAAAGGAGCAAUCCGCUUUGAGAUGGCCUCGCGUCCGAUUAGCUAGUUGGUGAGGUAACGGCCCACCAAGGCGACGAUCGGUAGCCGGACUGAGAGGUUGAACGGCCACAUUGGGACUGAGACACGGCCCAGACUCCUACGGGAGGCAGCAGUGGGGAAUAUUGCACAAUGGGGGAAACCCUGAUGCAGCGACGCCGCGUGGAGGAAGAAGGUCUUCGGAUUGUAAACUCCUGUUGUUGAGGAAGAUAAUGACGGUACUCAACAAGGAAGUGACGGCUAACUACGUGCCAGCAGCCGCGGUAAAACGUAGGUCACAAGCGUUGUCCGGAAUUACUGGGUGUAAAGGGAGCGCAGGCGGGCGAUCAAGUUGGAAGUGAAAUCCAUGGGCUCAACCCAUGAACUGCUUUCAAAACUGGUCGUCUUGAGUAGUGCAGAGGUAGGCGGAAUUCCCGGUGUAGCGGUGGAAUGCGUAGAUAUCGGGAGGAACACCAGUGGCGAAGGCGGCCUACUGGGCACCAACUGACGCUGAGGCUCGAAAGUGUGGGUAGCAAACAGGAUUAGAUACCCUGGUAGUCCAUGCCGUAAACGAUGAAUGCUAGGUGUUGGAGGGUUUCCGCCCUUCAGUGCCGCAGCUAACGCAUUAAGCAUUCCGCCUGGGGAGUACGACCGCAAGGUUGAAACUCAAAGGAAUUGACGGGGGCCCGCACAAGCAGUGGAGUAUGUGGUUUAAUUCGACGCAACGCGAAGAACCUUACCAAGUCUUGACAUCCCUUGACGAUGCUGGAAACAGUAUUUCUCUUCGGAGCAAGGAGACAGGUGGUGCAUGGUUGUCGUCAGCUCGUGUCGUGAGAUGUUGGGUUAAGUCCCGCAACGAGCGCAACCCUUAUGGUCAGUUACUACGCAAGAGGACUCUGGCCAGACUGCCGUUGACAAAACGGAGGAAGGUGGGGAUGACGUCAAAUCAUCAUGCCCUUUAUGACUUGGGCUACACACGUACUACAAUGGUCGGCAACAGAGGGAAGCGAAGCUGUGAGGCAGAGCAAACCCCAGAAACCCGAUCUCAGUUCGGAUUGCAGGCUGCAACUCGCCUGCAUGAAGUCGGAAUCGCUAGUAAUCGCGGAUCAGCACGCCGCGGUGAAUACGUUCCCGGGCCUUGUACACACCGCCCGUCACACCAUGAGAGUUUGUAACACCCGAAGCCGGUGGCGUAACCCUUUUAGGGAGCGAGCCGUCUAAGGUGGGACAAAUGAUUAGGGUG